rnacentral:lncRNA from 1 species
CACACACACACACACAGUCACAGAGCAGACACACACACUGAUGAAGAACUGACCAACAUCUGAAACAGGAAGGACAGCAGACCUCCAGGAACAAACUCUGCAGAGAAAAGGUGUGUCUCUGCUAUGGAUCA